rnacentral:rRNA from 1 species
AGAGGUUUGAUCAUGGCUCAGAACGAACGCUGGCGGCAGGCCUAACACAUGCAAGUCGAACGCUUCAGCAAUGAAGAGUGGCAGACGGGUGAGUAACGCGUGGGAACCUUCCCAGUGGUACGGAAUAGCCCAGGGAAACUUGGGGUAAUACCGUAUAAGCCCUUAGGGGGAAAGAUUUAUCGCCAUUGGAUGGGCCCGCGUCGGAUUAGCUUGUUGGUGAGGUAAAAGCUCACCAAGGCGACGAUCCGUAGCUGGUCUGAGAGGAUGAUCAGCCACACUGGGACUGAGACACGGCCCAGACUCCUACGGGAGGCAGCAGUGGGGAAUAUUGGACAAUGGGCGCAAGCCUGAUCCAGCCAUGCCGCGUGAGUGACGAAGGCCUUAGGGUUGUAAAGCUCUUUUGGCGGGGACGAUAAUGACGGUACCCGCAGAAUAAGCUCCGGCUAACUUCGUGCCAGCAGCCGCGGUAAUACGAAGGGAGCUAGCGUUGUUCGGAAUCACUGGGCGUAAAGCGCACGUAGGCGGAUUUGUUAGUCAGGGGUGAAAUCCCGGGGCUCAACCUCGGAACUGCCUUUGAUACUGCAAGUCUGGAGUCCGGAAGAGGUGGGUGGAAUUCCUAGUGUAGAGGUGAAAUUUCGUAAGAUAUUAGGAAGAACACCGGUGGCGAAGGCGGCCCACUGGUCCGGUACUGACGCUGANGUGCGAAAGCGUGGGGAGCAAAC